ensembl:snRNA U5 U5 spliceosomal RNA
UUUCUCUUCAGAUCAUAUGAAUCUUUCGCCUUUUACUAAAAAUUCCCGUGGGGGGAAA